GACGAACGCUGGCGGCGUGCUUAACACAUGCAAGUCGAACGGAAAGGCCCUGCUUGCAGGGUACUCGAGUGGCGAACGGGUGAGUAACACGUGGGUGAUCUGCCCUGCACUUCGGGAUAAGCCUGGGAAACUGGGUCUAAUACCGGAUAGGAGCCAUUUUUAGUGUGAUGGUUGGAAAGUUUUUUCGGUGUAGGAUGAGCUCGCGGCCUAUCAGCUUGUUGGUGGGGCAAUGGCCUACCAAGGCGGCGACGGGUAGCCGGCCUGAGAGGGUGGACGGCCACAUUGGGACUGAGAUACGGCCCAGACUCCUACGGGAGGCAGCAGUGGGGAAUAUUGCACAAUGGGCGCAAGCCUGAUGCAGCGACGCCGCGUGGGGGAUGACGGCCUUCGGGUUGUAAACUCCUUUCGCUAGGGACGAAGCUUUUUGUGACGGUACCUAGAUAAGAAGCACCGGCUAACUACGUG
rnacentral:rRNA from 1 species